AACGAACGCUGGCGGCAUGCCUAACACAUGCAAGUCGAACGGGAAGCGAGACUUCGGUUUCGUGGAGAGUGGCGCACGGGUGAGUAACGCGUGGGGACCUGCCGAUGGGUACGGAAUAACGGUUGGAAACGGCCGCUAAUACCGUAUACGCCCCGAGGGGGAAAGAUUUAUCGCCCAUUGAGGGUCCCGCGUCCGAUUAGUUAGUUGGUGAGGUAACGGCUCACCAAGGCGACGAUCGGUAGCUGGUCUGAGAGGAUGAUCAGCCACACUGGGACUGAGACACGGCCCAG
rnacentral:rRNA from 1 species